rnacentral:lncRNA from 1 species
GAGAGAAAGAAGCCCACACCAAGGGUUGUCCCAGGCUCCCGGUGUGUUUGCUACUGCCUGCUGCACAGAGUUCCGACAGGGUCCUCCCUUAACAAGCAAAGAGGAAAAUCAUCUCUGUUGCGAUGCCAGUGUGACUCGGCAAAGUUGCAUCUAGCGUGCGCGUCUGUCCUGGCUGAGGGGGGCUGAGAGAGGCUUUGCUGCCCUUUUCCCCCUUGAAUACGAGUUUCUCGUGACUUUCCACCACCCUGAACUCACAAUGAUCCGUCAAGGACCUUCUCCUAUUUCCCUCCCAGCACCAUCCUAAUUUCCUCCCUUCAGUGGCUUCUCUCCUCUUCAUGAUCACUUUAUCCCUUCCUGGACCAGAGGAAAUAACGAGAGACAGUGCCUCCUCCGCUGAAAAUCCACAGCCAGGCAUGGACCCCUCCCCACCACCUCCUACUAUGGUACUUAAAGACCUCACCAUGAAAAACUGGAUUGCAUAAAGGACUGCUCCUGGACAGAGACCCCUGGCUUGUUAUAUUUGCACAACUGGACAGUUUUCAUGGCAUAGAUUGGAUGGACUCUGUCAGUGACAGGAGGCAAUGUCCCUCCUGAAGGAGGGAAGGGAGUCUCUUCACUAGCAAAUACUCCAGCCAUUGGGGAAAAAAAAAAGAUCCUGUGAUUCCAACCAUGGAACUGCUACUCAAAACAACUACAAGAAAGAGGAAGUAGAGACCACGCGAGGUAUUUCCGUGUAAGACUGUUCCACCUUGAGAAAAGAAGCAAAAUGUGGAAAUGGGUCCUUCGCUGGAGAAUGGAUUAAAGAGUCUUUGGUCUCUUUCUGAAUUGUGCUACUUAAUUUAUCAUCACCACCAUCAUCAUCAUCUUUGUUGUCAUCAUCUCCAUCACCCGUGCUUCCUACAUGCCAGAAGUGUUGUGUUCCCUGGUUGAUCUCAUUUAAUUCUUCUGACAGCAAUAUGAGGCCUUGGCAGCUAUGCAGAGCAUUGCAGUGAGAAGCUGCUGUCUUGGGGGAGCUUUACUGCUUUUGGAGAUUUAAUACUGAUCUUGAACUUGAGGUGUGUCUGCAUGAACUUCUAUGCACCAGAAACUUUCAUUUCAAUGCUGAAAUGUGGGGUAAGAUUUUGGUGAAAUUUUAAACAAAUUUAGGGAACUACCUUAAGUAAAUUCAACCAGGUAUCACAUGCAGUCUUACUUUGGAAUUGUGAAAAAAAAAUAAUAAUAAGAGUGGAAAUAUGGAAAGAGAAUGCAAUAGCUACAACAGCAUAAACAUUGACUAUUAAGAAUCAAAAUAAUAUUCAUAAAAAAUAUUCAUUAAGUUAGGUGUCAACAUUUGUAAGAAAUGCACUGUUCCUGGCUUCGAGGUGGAAGAAGGCCGCCACAAGCUAAGGAAUGUGGGCCGCAUCUAGAAGCUGGAAAAGGCAAGAAAACAGUCUCCUCUAGAGCCUCUAGAAGGAAUACAGUCCUGGUGACACCUUGGUCUUGGCCCAGUGAGACCCAUAUCAGAUUUCUAACCUACAGAACUAUAAGAUAGUACAUUUAUGUUUUCUUAAGCCACUAGGUGUGUAAUCAUUUGUUACAACAGCCACAGGAAAGGAAUGCAUGUAUGGUUCUCUACAUUUUUGGUCUCUGCAGAGACAGGGUGGAUGGGGCCAGGAGACUAGCUCUGGCACUUAGAAUGGGGGAUGGGUGUGAUUUGCCCCCUACCUGGGCAAUGUGCCAUGACCUCUCUCUCUGGUGGUUGGACAGCUGAAUGCAGAGGGUCAGUAGAGGGUCAAGGAGGCUCUAGUGGAUGGCAGAGUCGCUGUUUGCAAGGAGCCUUGAAUCUGAAGUCACCACUUGAAAGAGUGUUGCCUCUGGGAGCUGCCCCAACCAAAUGCAUGAGUCUUAAUCCCCUGAGUUCCCAGAGUUCAUUUUUCCCUGCAGCAGAGCUGCUUCUAGUCUAACUCCAGAAUCUCCAAAUCAGAUUAUUUUUUCUUUUUAAAAAAUUUUUAAAGAGUUUUUUUUCUUUUUUUUUUUUUAAGGGAUCAAACUUCUACAUGGGCAAAGUCAGAACUUUGUUGGGCUUCCUUAGCCUUAGUUUGUAAUUCAGUCUUUUUAAAAUUUCACGUAGCACAUGGAGAGCAUUGUAAUCAAAUUUCUAUACUUAGGGCUUGUGACGGUCUUAAACCAGUGCUACUUUCUUGGCCACGGAGGCACCCACAGCCUCACAGUGCAGACAGACAGCUCAUUGGUCUCUUACAGGCUCUUCUGGCCUUUUCCUAAAUAUGCUCUCCAGUGCCAUAAAUUUCUACUUUUGUCCAGAGAUUCCUUUUUCUUGGAAUAUGUACCCCACCCCUUCCUUUAAGCUCAGCUCAAUUCCAUCUCCUUCAAGAUGCCUUUCUAGAUUCUCCAAGGAAUAUGAAUUUCCUUCCUCCAUGAUUCCCUGUGUUCUUUCGUAAUACUUAUUAAUGGAUCCCUGUCCUCUCUACCCAAGUACACACACAGGCACAUCCUAAAAUGUAGCUUCUAGAAGGCAAAUAUCAUCCCAGGCUCACUGUGGUCCUUCACCAUAAGAUAGUGCUCUAGGGCAGUAAAUGCUCUGUGCAUUUGCAAAUUUUAGUAAAACCUCUGUGGCUGGUGGAAGAGUUUUGUUUUGUUUGUUUAAGCAGACAGGAUCACGUGGUGCCUUUUAUAUUAUCAUAUAGGACUGGUCCAUUUAUAUAGAGCAAGGGUCCCCCAAGAUUCCUUGUUCAUCAAAAUCUGAAUGACUAAACCAGGCACUGUGCUAAAGGGCCGGAGCACCACGUACCCUGUGGAACUAUCAAAUGUCACCCACUAGGACAGCUGCAAACCACAUAUAGAGUGUACCUACUACGUACCAGACUUUGGGCAGGUGAUCGACAUCAGCCUGAGCCUCUGGCCAGUCCUUCACUUUCUAGGACUUCUUCCCUUUCAGGGAAAUUUGGCCUCCCAGCAUCUGGGGAACAAGCUGCUUAUUUGCUAAUAUCUGUUUGCACAUCAGGGUUUUUUACUUUUAGGAACAGUUUGUCUCUCUGGCAGAUCUCCGUGUUCCCAUACCGUUGUUUAUGAUGUAACUAAGCAUCUAUCGUAUAGAAUUGAACUCAAUUCUCUUUUGAAACUGCAAGAGAUCUAACCCGCUCAUUUUCUUUCCAUUUAACAUACGAGAGGGGUGUGUAGGAGCAGUUUAUUAAGGGGGAGCUGUUUAUUGAGGGAUCCUGGGGCUAAUCCCAGCCCAUUAUUUCUCCAUUUCCUUACAGCUCACUGAGAAGGGUGGGAGAGAACAGGAACGGGGAGACUAUUCUUUCCUGAGUGAUUGUUUGGCCAGUCCACAGGGAUCCUGACUUUCCUACACCCAUCAGGGAAGUAGCAUCCAGAGGGUCAUUCCAGGGACAGGGCUGGCUGUGUCAGGCUGUAAUGAAUGGUUCAGACUGAGAAGUGGAACUUGGCCAACAACAGGGAAAGACAAUAAUCAUUGGAAAAUUUAGGCAUUGAGAAUAAGAUCCAUGUCUGUCUUAUGUCCCCUGGGUACCAACACAAUGACUUGGCUUAGUAACUGCCCCAUAAUGUUUAAAUUAUGUUCAGUGAAUGAGUGAAUGAAUGGAUGCCGUAUUCUUGCUUCCUUCUCCAAACACUCUUUAUAAAAUUACGGCAUCUCAUUCAUGUCUCCUCUAUAAAUCGGGAAUUUGGUGAGGCAUGCUGUUUAUUGCUUAGGAAUCAUUUUACUUAAUCACAAAGGUCCCAGGGGUUCAGGCGGGGAAAAAAAAAAAAAAGCAGGUUUGGGAGAAAGAGUAGGAUAGGAUCUUCCUAGAGAUUUUUCUUUCCUUUUUCUUUAAUGGGCGCACCCAUGGAAGAUGGAAAUUCCCAGGCCAGGUAUUGAAGCCCAGCCUCAGCUGUGGCCAGAUCCUUUAACCCACUGCACCAGGCUGGGGAUUGAACCUGCACCUCGACAGUGACCCAAGCUGCUGCAGUGGGAUUCUUAACCCAAGGUGCCACAGCACAGUGAGGCUAGAGCCCCACUUCAACUCCUAUAGAGUUGAAAGCUCUAUAGGAGUUUCUGUCAUGGCUCAGUGGUAACAAACUCUACUAGUAUCCACGAGGACGCUGGGUUUGAUAAGUGGGUUAAGGCUCUGGUGUUGCCGUGAGCUGUGGCGUAGGUCACAGACACGGUUCAGACCUGCUGUUGCUAUGGCUGUGGUGUAGGCUGGCAGCUACAGCUCCAAUUCGACCUCCAACCUGGGAACUUUCAUAUGCUGCAGGUUUGGCCCCCAAAAAGACCAAAAAAAAAAAAAAA